rnacentral:misc_RNA from 1 species
GAAUGGAAGAAAUGAUGAGCCAUAAAAUGGAGGAGAUGAUGUGUCAAAUAAUGAAAUUGAUGAAAGCUUCCCAUUAUUUAUGAAAGUCAGUUUCAUGUGCAAGAAAUUAGGGUUAAUUCUAAUGGGAUAAGGGCUAAUAAUAAUGAAUCAAGGGAUAUUUUGCCUCUGCCUUGAGGAAGGGAAAAUGAGGAUUUUGGUAACAGCUCACAAGGGCAAAAGAGUUUGGGUAAUUUCUGAGAUGAAAUUGAAAAGUGGAUUUGUCUCAAUUUGAUGGUAGUAAACCUAGAGGUUGGGCAUUUGGCAACAAAGAGGGCGUUACUGUUAAGAAUGUUUCAAUUAAAGGAAAAAAUGGGAAAGUUAAUGAAGAAAUAAACUGUGAAAAAA